rnacentral:lncRNA from 1 species
ACAGCUACUAGUCUUUCCUGAUAGUGUUGGCUAGACCUCAUGGAUGACCAGAAGGCCUUUUCCUCCUCUGCUUCUGUCUAAAAUGUCAGGACUUAGGAGAGCUUGUUAUACAUUUCCUGGUAACAGUAAAUUAGACCGCUAUGACUAAGCGCUAGUGACAGCUGCGUAGCUAAAGCAAAACCAAAGCCAUCUUCUGUUUGGGUUGCUUAGUUUAAUAGAAUAGUGAUUGUUUUGGCCGGGCACGGUGGCUCACGCCUGUAAUCCCAGCACUUUGGGAGGCCGAGGUGGGAGGAGCACUUGAGCCCAGGAGUUCGAGACCAGCCUGGGCAAGAUGGUGAGGCCCUAUCUCUACCAAAAAAAAAAAAAAAAAAAAAAAAAAAAAAAAAAAAAAACUUAUCAAAGAAUCCAAAGACCUUACCUUCGAAAAUUGUAAAAAACAGUAAUACACAAGCACAUAUUCUUUUAGUCACCAGAGCAAUGACAUCAUCACAUAUUCUGUAAAUGUAUAAUUAUUUCAAAAAAAAGUUAAAGGAAAUGAAGCACAGAAGAUGAAUCAAGUAGGGAUUACAACAACUUUCAACAGCAACCGAAGUCAGAAGACAGAUACCAUCAAUGUGCUGAAAGAGGAAAACUUCUGAACCUCAAAAUCUAUAAACUAUGAAAUAAACCCUUCAAGAAUUUUAAGAUGGGCUGGUCCAAAGGUAGUGAGUUAUCUCAGUUGAUUGUUCACAAUCAGUUACACAUCAAACUCCUUAUUUUACUCUGACUACUGCACUUGACUAGUCUAAAAAAAGAAUUAUAAGAUGAAUUAAAGACACGUUCAGAUAAGCAAAACUGAGAACGUUUGGCAAAAGCAGAUCUUUACUAAAGGAAAUUAUGAAGAAUGUACCUCGGGCAGAAGGAAAAGUGUCAAGAUCAAGUGUCAAGGAAGAUUAGAGAUUUAAGAAGGUAUAAGAAGGUUAGAAAAGUAAGAAAAAAAUAUGCCGUCAACUCUAAAAACUACAAGUAUAAAGAAAAAAGAUUAUUGGGAAAUCCAAAUAACCUACCUUAGGAAAUUCUAAAAGAAUAUACGAGCUCACAUUCCUUUGGUCAUAAGAGCAGUGUCAUCAUUAGACAUCAGGUCGCCUCUGGAAAAUUCCAUUGUGAGUUUAAAAGGCAAAUGACGUCUAUAAUUCUAAAACUAGUUCUCCCACCGAAACUCUAGAAAGGAUCUUGGGAUCUGCAGGGUCUCCCGGAUCACACUUUGAGAACUGCUGCUUUAGUCUUCCUCCCAUCUCCUAAGGCCAGAGCUCCUGAGUUUGCUUCCCACUGGCCAAGGAGAAAAGAGCAAGGUCACUUGUC